UACAGGGGGUGCAAGCGUUGCUCGGAAUACUGGGCGUAAAGCGAGCGCAGGCGGCCGAUUAAGUCAGAGGUGAAAGCCCGGGGCUCAACCCCGGAAAGGCCUUUGAAACUGGUAGGCUUGAAUGCAGGAGAGGGUCGCGGAAUUCUUGGUGUAGAGGUGAAAUUCGUAGAUAUCAGGAAGAACACCAGUGGCGAAAGCGGCGACCUGGCCUGACAUUGACGCUCAUGCUCGAGAGCGUGGGGAGCAAACAGG
rnacentral:rRNA from 1 species